CAACAAUAUCGAUACGACCAACACCGUUACGACGAGCGAUAGCGUUCAAUUGGUAGAAGAUGGAAACGACUCCGCUAAAGGUACCAUCCUUGCACUCUAAUUUGGUGGGAGCACCCUUUUCAAAGUGAAUGCUGAGCUCUUCAACCUCAUCAGGAGCGUCUUUGGGAUCAACGGUGAGCUUCCACAUGUCCUUGGGAGGAGUCAUACUGGGA